rnacentral:rRNA from 1 species
UAGGGAAUCUUCGGCAAUGGGGGGAACCCUGACCGAGCAACGCCGCGUGAGUGAAGAAGGCUUUCGGAUCGUAAAGCUCUGUUGUUAAGGAAGAACGAGUGUGAGAAUGGAAAGUUCAUGCUGUGACGGUACUUAACCAGAAAGGGACGGCUAACUACGUGCCAGCAGCCGCGGUAAUACGUAGGUGCCGAGCGUUGUCCGGAUUUAUUGGGCGUAAAGCGAGCGCAGGGGGUUAGAAAAGUCUGAAGUGAAAGGCAGUGGCUCAACCAUUGUAGGCUUUAGAAACUGUUUAACUUGAGUGCAGAAGGGGAGAGUGGAAUUCCAUGUGUAGCGGUGAAAUGCGUAGAUAUAUAGAGGAACACCGGUGGCGAAAGCGGCUCUCUGGUCUGUAACUGACGCUGAGGCUCGAAAGCGUGGGGAGCGAACAGG